GAGAAUGGAGAAUUUUUUAGAAUGAGUUUUAUGUUACAAAUGCAGUACUUGUUGAUCUUUUAGAACGAGGAGAAUGGAGAUUUUUUUUAGAGUGAGGUGAAUGGGGAGUUUUUUAGAAUGAGUUUUAUGUUACAAAUGGAGUACUAGCUUGCUGAUCUUUUAGAAUGAGAAGAAUGGAGAGUUUUUUAGAGUGAGGUGAAUGUGGAGUUUUUUAUAAUGAGUUUUAUGUUACAAAUGGAGUACUAGCUUGUUGAUCUUUUAGAGUGAGGAGAAUGGAGAGUUUUUUAGAAUGAGUUUUAUGUUACAAAUGGAGUACUUGUUGAUCUUUUAGAACGAGGAGAAUUGAGAGUUUUUUAACUAUCUUUCCCCUAACUAAUCUAAUACGAAGCUCUAUGUCCAUUUUUUACGUAAGACGAUGCCGAUGGAUCGGCAAUGGAUGUAACACCUCCGCUCCUCCAAUACCAGAGAA
rnacentral:lncRNA from 1 species